UGAUCCUGGCUCAGGAUGAACGCUAGCGGCAGGCCUAACACAUGCAAGUCGAGGGGUAACAUAGAGUGCUUGCACUCUGAUGACGACCGGCGCACGGGUGAGUAACGCGUAUACAAUCUGCCUCAUACUAGGGGAUAGCCCAAAGAAAUUUGGAUUAAUACCCUAUAGUAUCUUUUAGAGUCAUCUCUUUAAGAUUAAAGGUUACGGUAUGAGAUGAGUAUGCGUUCUAUUAGUUAGUAGGUGAGGUAACGGCUCACCUAGACCACGAUAGAUAGGGGCCCUGAGAGGGGGAUCCCCCACACUGGUACUGAGACACGGACCAGACUCCUACGGGAGGCAGCAGUGAGGAAUAUUAGACAAUGGGCGAAAGCCUGAUCUAGCCAUGCCGCGUGCAGGAUGACGGCCCUAUGGGUUGUAAACUGCUUUUAUACAGGAAGAAAAAACUCUACGUGUAGAGUCUUGACGGUACUGUAAGAAUAAGGAUCGGCUAACUCCGUGCCAGCAGCCGCGGUAAUACGGAGGAUCCAAGCGUUAUCCGGAUUCAUUGGGUUUAAAGGGUCCGUAGGCGGGUCUUUAAGUCAGUGGUGAAAGCCGACAGCUCAACUGUCGAACUGCCAUUGAUACUGGAGACCUUGAGUACAAAUGAAGUAGGCGGAAUGGGUCAUGUAGCGGUGAAAUGCAUAGAUAUGACUCAGAACACCGAUUGCGAAGGCAGCUUACUAACAUGUAACUGACGCUGAGGGACGAAAGCGUGGGGAGCGAACAGGAUUAGAUACCCUGGUAGUCCACGCCGUAAACGAUCAUCACUCGCUGUUGGCGAUAUACUGUCAGCGGCCAAGCGAAAGUAUUAAGUGAUGCACCUGGGGAGUACGCCGGCAACGGUGAAACUCAAAGGAAUUGACGGGGGCCCGCACAAGCGGUGGAGCAUGUGGUUUAAUUCGAUGAUACGCGAGGAACCUUACCAGGGCUUAAAUGUAGUCUGACAGGCGUGGAAACAUGCUUUUCUUCGGACAGAUUACAAGGUGCUGCAUGGUUGUCGUCAGCUCGUGCCGUGAGGUGUCAGGUUAAGUCCUAUAACGAGCGCAACCCCUGUUGUUAGUUGCCAGCGAGUCAUGUCGGGAACUCUAACAAGACUGCCAGUGCAAACUGUGAGGAAGGUGGGGAUGACGUCAAAUCAUCACGGCCCUUACGUCCUGGGCCACACACGUGCUACAAUGGUAGGUACAGAGAGCAGCCACUGCGCGAGCAGGAGCGAAUCUAUAAAACCUAUCUCAGUUCGGAUCGGAGUCUGCAACUUGACUCCGUGAAGCUGGAAUCGCUAGUAAUCGGAUAUCAGCCAUGAUCCGGUGAAUACGUUCCCGGGCCUUGUACACACCGCCCGUCAAGCCAUGGAAGCUGGGGGUACCUGAAGUCGGUCACCGCAAGGAGCCGCCUAGGGUAAAACUGGUAACUAGGGCUAAGUCGUAACAAGGUAACC
rnacentral:rRNA from 1 species